GCCGCGGUAAUACRGAGGAUGCAAGCGUUAUCCGGAAUUAUUGGGCGUAAAGAGUCCGUAGGYGGAAGUUCAAGUCUGCUGUUAAAGAAUGGAGCUUAACUCCAUAGAGGCGGUGGAAACUGAGCAACUAGAGUGCGGUAGGGGUAACGGGAAUUCCCAGUGUAGCGGUGAAAUGCGUAGAUAUUGGGAAGAACAYCGGUGGCGAAAGCGCGUUACUGGGCCGAAACUGACACUSAGGGACGAAAGCUAGGGUAGCGAAMGGGAUUAGAUACCCCUGUAGUCCUMGCCGUAAACGAUGGAUACUAGGCGUAGCACGUAUCGACCCGUGCUGUGCCGAAGCUAACGCGUUAAGUAUCCCGCCUGGGGAGUACGCUCGCAAGAGUGAAACUCAAAGGAAUUUGACGG
rnacentral:rRNA from 1 species